GGAUUAUGGCUCAGUGGUAGAGCGCUUGCCUAGCAUGUGCGAGGCCCUGGGUUCUAUCCUCAGCACCA
rnacentral:tRNA from 1 species